AUAGGACUUCUGUGCCGUUGGAAGCACAAAAAUUUUUGUACUUAUCUACGGUCCUUAUCUACCGUCCCUGGAGCAAGUAACAAAAAGGACUUUGUAGUUGAUACUCAGAUCCCAAGUUCGAAUCCUGGUUGAUUCAUAUUUUCUUUAGAAAUAAACAAAGCGGAUAGCGUGCUAUCUAUCUCUCAAAAAUAGAAAAAUCUGUGUUUUUUAAUUCGUUUUUGAUAAUAUUAGACUUUUUCUACUAUAUUUAAAAUAUCUAGGAAAUAAAUUUUACGAUUCAUCGAUAUUAUUUACCUAGUGAUUAAAAAAACCCAAAAUUAACCGUUGAAAUUAAAAACCUCAUGAAAAGUUAAUUAUGACGUGGCAUUAAGAUUUUCAAUCAGAAAUAUUUAUCUUACUGUAAAUAGUAUAAAAAAAAUUUUAUCCAAAUUUUAUCUGAUUUGAAUACUUUUAUAUCGUUAAACUUAUAAACGGUACACAUCAAUCGUUAAAAAUUAUUAAUUUUGAAUCCGUCGAUCAUUAGAUAAAUGAUCUCGAAAUUAAUCUGGAAAUACAAAAAAAUUCUAUAUACUUCAAAUACGCUAGACCAAGUCUAACGAAACCGAUCGUUAAUUCAGAAGUUUCAUCAUCGAAAAUAACUUAAGAGUACAGAAGCUUCCGUGCUCCUAAUAGCAUACAAGUCUUACUCAUAUAUCCUUAAACUAAUUAUUAUUUAUAAUUUUUUAUUCAAAAUUUU
rnacentral:lncRNA from 1 species